AUGGUUUUCAACAAGAAUCACUCAGAGGCUGUGGGAGUGACCCUAAACAGCACUAAGAGAACCCUAAUGUCCUAUGCUCAUGUGGCUUUUACAUUUAAUGACAUGAAGAAUGUGUGAACAUCCUUCAAAGGGACCAAGAUGGGCACCAUCUACCUUAUAUCUAUCUUAUCCCUUAAUGGGCCAUCUUUCUGUCUGAUGGGAAGAAUGAAAUCCUUCAUGAUGUCGCUUUAUCUGAUGAAGGACCAUGAGAUCAGGCAGCCAGUGUUUCAUGGGAACUUCAUUAAGAGAAUAGCGAUGGCCCAGGAUAGGGUCAGGGAAGGCUCCCCUACUUGUAAGUUGACCUCCACAGCGUGGGGUGCUAUUGAGUUUGGAAGGCAGAUGCCCCAGGUGGCAUCUCAAGCCUCCAGAGGUGAAGACCCUAAAUGUAGCCUAUGGGUAUUCUAACAUGCCCAGCAAAGGCUAUGCCUUUCCCCCACCAGUAGCCAAUGGAUGUGCCCUUGAAUACUCACAGCUUCCUUCAACAUGAGUUAUAUCUAGCCCAUUCCCCCAUGACAAAUUGGGUCAUAGAAUUUGUAAAAACCCUGCCUAUCCAGAGCCAGUGGAACCUCAAUAUCAGAGGCCCCGACAUCCUCUCCACUCCUGAAGCUGGGGCCAAGGCCACAAAAAUAGCUUCUAGUGUCUAUUACAACCCAGGCAACCAACAUAAUGUCUCCACGUACAUGAGCAGCCUCCACCACCAUCCCAGCACCCACAGAAGAUGAGAAGACC
rnacentral:lncRNA from 1 species